rnacentral:rRNA from 4 species
GGUUAAGUUAGAAAGGGCGCACGGUGGAUG